UUAAUAAAAAUAAAAAUAUAAUUAAAAAUUUUAUAAUAGAUAAUUAAAAUAAUCUUAAUAUUAAAAGUACAAUAAUACUUGUAAUCAACUCUCAAAAAAUGCUCUCUAGGAAAAACCUAAAAACCAAAACCCUCGAAAAGUGGCGGCCAUAUGGUUGACACCACGGCCGGUUGGAUCACCCCACCAUAUGACUUUCCACCCUUAGCCAACAAAGACAACACCUUAACCCAAUCUACUCAUACCCAUACAGAUCCCAACAGGACCCAAUACGCCAAUCUACUUAAACUUAAAAUCAUCGCUCCUCAAAUCCAGUGGUACCUGCUAAAUCAGUAUUGAUUUUAAUCGGAAGUCAGAUUACUUCUCAUUAAGGAGCUGAACCUUCAAUAUGUAAUCAUAGGGAAAUUCUUGUAUGUCAAACCUCAUGUUACAGAGUUGAGGAGGACAAUUUCGGGUCAAUGCGGUAUCAAAAGUGGAUGCUCAAUAGGGGUGUUGGAUACAAGACACAUACUGAUCAGACUCGCAACAAUGGAGGAUUACGUACAUGUAUUGUCCACACCAGCCUUCCAUGUUAAGACAAAAAAUAACUAUUGACAAAUAUGCACUCUUAAAUGGACCCAUGAUUUGAACCGGAUGUAGAAAUGAUUAUCAAGGUGGCAUGGAUAUAUUUUCCAGUUCUACUACCAAAUUUUCUUGCAAAGGAGGCUAUUUUUUCUAUUUCCAAUGCAGUGGGCAUACCCCUAAUGAUGGAUAUGGAAACAAAGAAUCAAACAAGACCUAGCUAUGCAAGAGUCAAAUAGGAAGUGGAUCUGACUGCAAAGCUACCCUAAAGAGUGAUUAUUAACGAGGAAGAUGAUAUUACAGGGAAUAUCAAAUCCAAAUGGAUUAAGGUGCAAUGCGAUUAUAUGCCUAAAUAUUGCACGGAAUGUUGUCUGCAAGGUCAUGAUGAACAAAAUUGUUGCACAAUUCAUGCUGAAUUGUAUGCUACUAAGAGUGAAACGGGACUCAGAAGGAAAUAUAUCGAACAUUAUUGGCACAUUGGCAGCCUGAAGGAAAACUCUCACAAGCGGUAACGUAGUAGAAAACAAACAAAAUAGACAAGAAUGGAUGGUAAGAAGAAGGAACAAAUACAAGAGGGAUAAAUAUGGACAUAUAGAAAGGACAAUCAACUACCAAGACAAAAACAAUUUUGAAGCACUAAGAGAGGUAGAAGAGGUUGAUACAGGAGAAAACAAAGAAGACAAAAUAGAAAGGGAAAGCACUAAAGAUUGGGUGAACAAAAUUUUUACCAACAAGGAGCAGAGAGAAUCAGAAAGUUAAGGAGAAUGUCAACAAAGGCAAUGGAGAGAUUGCAGGGGCAGAACAAAGUGUGGAUGAUACAAUUUAAAGCAUUCAAGAAAAUCAAGAAGGUAGAAGUGGAGAUGAAGACAUUGGAGCUGAUAAAAAUGAGGAAGAAGGGAAUCAUAAGAUCAAUGAAGGGGCUAUAGUAGUGGUAGAAAUGAAUGAUGAAGAACUCCUACCAUUGACUGUUAAGAUGAAUAUAUGAUGGAUAUUGAUAGGGUAGAGAGGGGGCAUAAUAUAGAUAAGGAUAAUUUAUCCUAGAAUAUCAGUCGGGUGAGGGUGGUGAUUUAUCGCCAAAGCAUACAAGGAACUCAAGGGUAAGUAUACCAAUCAAAGGGAACAAAGUGUAGAAGAUCUUACAAAGGCUCAAGCAUAAUCCAGACGGUCAUAAAGAACGAUUGUCAAAAAUUCCAAAUAUCAAUGAAGGAUUUGAUAUGAAUUAUUAGGUCAGUAAACACCCAAAAAGCGUUUACAAGACUUAUUAAUCUCCAUAAAAGAAGUCAAUUCUAUUUUAUUAAUUUAAUGGAACCAUUUGAAGAUAAUAAAAGACUAGAAAAGUUUAGUAGAAGACUAGGUAUGAAACAUGCAAUAGCUAGUUCCAAUGGGAAGCUUUGGGCUUUUAUCGAUGAUAUUUUGGAGUAUGGAGUAAUAAUAUAGGCGGAUCAGAUGCUAACUAUCAAAGUGCGAAAUCAGAGUUUGGUAUAAAAAAUUUAAUCUCUCUGGUAUAUGCUAAAUGUACUCAAGGCGAAAGAUUCCAGUUAUGGGAGUCGAUGUAUGAUUUGGCAAAUACUAAUAUGAUACCAUUGGUAGUAGGAGGAGAUUUUAAUGUAAUAAAUAACGGGGAAGAAAAACUGGGGGGAUGACCAGUAACAGACUCAGAAGUCAGAGAUUUUAAUCAUUGUAUUAGUAUGUGUAAUUUGGAGGAUAAAAAAUUCAAAGGAAGCAAAUACACGUAGUGGAAUGGUAGAAAGGAUGGAGAGUGCAUUUUCAAAAGACUGGAUAGAGUAUUGUGUAGAUACUUUACAUAAUAUUUUUCCCGUCUUAGAGAUGGAGCAUCUCAUAAGGAGCAGAUCAAAUCAUACACCACUUUUGAUAACUUUCAAGGAGACCACUGAGAAUGUGAUCAAACCGUUCAGAUUUAUGAACUUUUGGCUACAAGAAGAAUCUUUUAUGGGGGUAAUCAAGAACUAUUGGAAAGCGGAUUUUUUAAGGGUGCCGUUUUAGUGUGUUUCAUCAUAAACUAAAGUAGGUCAAGGGUGUUUUGACACAAUGGAGUAAAAAUGUUUUUAGGAAAUAGCCACGCUGGAGAAGGUAAUUAGAGUUCAAGAGGUAGAAUUUGAAGCAAAUUCAUUCUAAUUUAACCAAGAAAUGCUACAAAAGGCACAAUCAGACUUAAAGAAACAAUUACAUAGAGAAGAAGAAUUUUGGAAACAAAAAGCUGGCAUGGAAUGGUUUACAGACACAGAGAAAUACAAAAUUCUUCCACACCAUAAUGAAGGGGAGAAAAAGCAGAUUAUGAGUUAACAAAACUCAGAAUGAAUAUGGGGAAUGGUUAGAAGAUAAAGAAGGAAUUGCACGUGCAACAAUCAAUUUCUACAACAAACAAUUUACUAUGCAAUAGCCAGAAAAGAUUAUUAAAUGUUGAAUAGUUACCGCAAGUUGUGAGUGGAUAUAAGAAUGAGGAACUUCAAGAGAUGCCAAUGAAAGAAGAAGUUAGAAGUGCAGUUGUAUGGUUGAAUCAACAUAAGGCUAGUGGGCCAGAUGGAAUGACAAGGGUGUUUUACCAAAGUGCGUGGGAAAUUAUUGGAGAUGACACCCAUAAAAUGGCUAUGACCUUUUUCUGUGGUGCAGAACUAACUAGAUUCAUCAUACACAUGAACUUUGUACUGAUUCUAAAAAAAAAUGGUGGUUGGCAUAUUUUCAUGUUUGAGGCUUAUAUCUCUAAGAAAUUUUGUGAAUAAUGUUUUUUCACGAAUUAUUCAUGAGAGAAUUAAAGGUGUGCUACCUCAACUAAUCUCACCAGAACAAACAUGAUUUGUACAGGAGAGAAGUAUAUCUGAGAAUGUCCUACUGGUUCAAGAAAUAAUCUCAAAAAUAAGGAAAAUAGGGAAACCACCUAAUUUAGUCAUCAAGAUGGAUAUGAUGAAAGCUUAUGAUCGAGUGGAGUGGACGUUCCUAAUUUUGGAGAGAGAAUCAUUGACAUAAUUUUUAGACUAAUUAGUAACAAUUGGUACUCGAUUUUGUUAAAUGGACAACCGAAAGGUUUUUUAAAAUCCUCAAGAGGUUUAAAUAUCCUUUUUCACCCAAUCUAUUUAUAAUGACAGCUGAAGUGAUGUCUAAAGCCUUAAAUGCCUUAAUGAGAAAGAAAUAAUUUAAAAGGUUUGGUAUGCCGAGAGAAAUUAUAAAGCUAAAUCACUUAGCUUUUGUGGAUGAUAUGAUCAUAUCAUGCAAAGUGGAGAUAGGUGUUAUGAAGAUGAUCAAUGAUACGAUGUAGAAUUAUAAAGAGAUUUCAGGACAUAAAGUGAAUUAGGAGAAAAAUACAAUCUAUUUACACCAUAUUGUUCAUGGUGGAGAGUCAGUGGUGGCAGAAAUAGCUACAAGAAUCUUACGAAAAGAUUUUCAUUUUAUGUAGUUGGGAUGUCUUAUUUUCUACAAAGGGUGGAAAGGUAAGUUAUUAUCUUAUUGGGAAGGGCUUUUAUGAUUAAACAUGUAUUGCAAAGUACCCCUAUACAUUGUUUAUCAUCUAUGAACCCUCCCAGUAACGUUCUGAAUCAACUGCAAAAAAUGUUGGCUCAACUCUUUUGAAGUAGUUGUGUAGGAAGUAGGUGCAGACAUUGGAGUAAAUGGAGUAACUUAUGUCUACAAGAGGAGGAAGGGGGCUUAGGAUUCAGGCUGAUGCAGGAUGUUUCGAUGGCAUUGUUUGGUAAGCUUUGGUGAAAUUACAUAACAAAGCAAACUCUAUUGAGUGAGUACAUGAGAAAUAAAUAUUGCAGGACUACAUAUCAAAAUCCGGCCAUGUGGAAAGUUGGAGGAGAUGGAUCUUUAGUGUGGAAAAAAUAUGUUACAGGCAAGAGAUUUAGUUGAACACCAAAUACUAUGGCAAACUAAGAAUGAUUCAACUUCUCUAAGGCAUGAUAAUUGGACAGGAAUCGGAGACCUGUACACAAUUACAGGAGAUAAACUUUGUCUGGGAUGAUAGAUAUGAAAAUGUUAUGGAUCUUGCAAACCAACGGGCAACGGGAGUGAGAUAUGAGUAUAAUGAAUGACAUUUUACCACCUGAACUGGUUGGACAUAUCAUUAAUCACAUCAAACCUUCUAAAGGGGAAAUUGAAGACAAAUCGUGUUGGAUGCUAGAUACUAGAGGAUCUUUUUCAGUCAAAACAACAUGGAAUUAAAUAAGGCAUAAAGAGUUUUCUAAUACAAUCCAUAUAUUGAUAUGAAAUAAAGGGGUGCCUUUUAAAAUGACCUUGAUAAUGUGGAGGAUGUGGAAGUUUAAGAUUUCAAUGGAUGAUAAUUUGAGAAGAUGGGUCUAUAAGGCCAAUCAAGAUGACGUGUUGUGAUAAAUCUGAUCAGGAAACACCAUCUCAUGUUUUUUAUAAAAUCAGAAAUUGCUGAUAGGAACUUGGUCUUAUUUUUAUUCUUUUGUAGGUCUAAAUUUUACAGGGCUACAAUUACGGGAAGUAAUAAUAUUGUUGUGGGGGACAAACAUUAAAAUACCUUUGAGACCUUAUUAUAGAGAAAUCCCUGACUUUAUAAUAUGGAAAUUCUGGAAAAGAAUAAACAAAAAAGAAGCAUGAAGGAAGAAAUAUUUCAUUGCCAAAAAUCAUCCAUUAUGUGACCAAAUACAUGAGUAUGUUCGUAAAAAUAAAGACACAUGACAUGAGAGGAGAAAGAUGUUGGCCAGAAAUCCUGAAGCAAUUGGAGGACUAUAGACCUAGAGUGAAGGUUAUCCAAGUUAAGUGGGAAUAUCCACCAACAUGAUGGAUUAAAUAUAACAUGGAUGGAGCAUCGAAGGGAAACUCAGGCAAUAGUUUGUAUGCAUAUUAUCUCAAGGAUGAGAAAGGAGAUCUUAUAAAUGCAAAAGAAUCCACGAUAAAAAAUACAACAAACACAAUGGAUGAAGUAAGAGCUAUUCUAUAAGCAAGCAAGCAUUGCAAUAACUCACAAUUUAAUCAGGUUAUCAUCCAAACUGAUUCUAUGUUAAUGAGUGAAGUGUCAAAAGGAAAUUGGGUCACCCCAUGGGUAAUCACAGAUACAGUAGAGGAAAUAAAACAUGUUUGCUAGGCAUACACCAUACAUUUCAGCAUAUUUUGAGGAAGGAAAUCAAUUGACUAUCUAGCAGAUAUGAAUAUUUUAAUAGCCUUGAACCAGAUGACAAAAGAAUAUUAAACAGUGAUUAAAUUUAGAGCUCAUACUUAAGAAUAUCACCAACAGGGAGAUAAUGGGAAGGGGAGGCAAAAACAUAAAUUUUUUCACAUUUACAACAUUUAUAAAAGCCAUAAAGGCGAUAGAAGAGGUGAAAUGCUAAUUAGCCUAGGCUAUCUCACCCAACAACAAUAACUUGGCAAAAUGGAGAUAUCUGGGUUCAGGCACUUAAACUUAGAAGAGGCGCUUAUCACUAGUUUGGAGUGGCAGAUUGGAGCUACCCUAGCACACUAAUCGAGCAAAAAAAGAUGAAGAAAGUGAAUACAGAGAACAUGACAAGUGAGAAAGGUUAGAGUUGCAGUCUUACCUAGUGAAUAAGCCUCCCACCAUCAGAUGGGUUCGAGGAGAAAAAGGUCACUAUACUAGGGUGUGUAUCAGUCGCUACAGUUCGAUUUUAAGUAUUAUCAGUUUGUUUUAUCUAUUUUUGGUUUUUAAAUAUGCUAAACCGAUAACCAAACCAAUAAGAAAUUUGUUAUCAGUUUUUUCAGUUUAUCGGUUUUUGGUCUUUAACGGUUCGGCUUUUGGUUUAACCACUAAGAGAAUGCUUUCAAAACAAAUAUAUGACUUAUCUAACUAUUUGACACGAAAUAAAAAAAGAGAGAAAUUAAAUUACUCAUUGAGUGCGAAAAUUCCACUUAAUGUAGCAAAAUUAUAGCAAAUACUCACAAUUCACAACCCUAGUUGUUGCCUAACCAUUGUUGUCGUCGUUACAAACCCUAAUCGUCGUCGUUCUUAGAUAUAUAGGUUUUGACGUUGUGAAUCUAAAGACUAAAUUAAUACUAAAAACUAAAGGGUAAAUGCAGAGAGCAGAUUUAAGUAGUGUUAAUUGUGCAGGGUCCUUAUAGUUAUAGUUUAAUAUAGUGAUUAUAUUAAUAUUUUUUGUUUGAUAUUUAUGUAUGACUAAAAAUUAAAAUAGUAAAUUAUUAUAUUCUUAAUGAGUUAUCUGUUAACUAAAUAACCCAAUAUUAAAGAGCCAAUAUCAAACCGAUAACCCAAUAACAAUAAACCAAUAACACUUUUUUCGGUUCGAUUAAUCGGUCGAUUUGAUUUUUGCACACCCCUACACUGUACCAGUGAACACAACUAAAGAGAAAAAGUUUAGGAACACUUACAAUAGGAAGAUGAAAGGAUAAGAGGGGAAAUGCUUAUUAUUGGUAGCUGAUCCAAGGUUGCAAGACGAUCCAUACCCUCACAUUAAUGAUCCAUUGAAAAAGGAGGUGGAACUUCUUGUUCAACCACAGAGGGAAUGUCUCUCAGGUGUGAAGACAAGAAGAGGAGAGGCAGGAUUAGGAAAGGAAAGGGAUGAGG
rnacentral:lncRNA from 1 species